rnacentral:tRNA from 1 species
GCACUCGUCGUUCAAUGGAUAGGACGCUAGUUUGCGGAACUAGCAAUCUAAGUUCGAUUCUUAGCGAGUGCACUA